UCGGGCGUCGGGGCCACACGUCCGUCCGCGGGUCGCCGGGGCUGCGCGCGCCAUGGAACCCGGGUGCCCGCCGCCGUGCGCCUGCUGCGAGCGAGUGGUGCUCAACGUGGCUGGGCUGCGCUUCGAGACCCGGGCGCGCACGCUGGGCCGCUUUCCGGACACGCUGCUCGGGGACCCGGUGCGCCGCAGCCGUUUCUACGACGGCGCGCGCCGCGAGUACUUCUUCGACCGGCACCGGCCCAGCUUCGACGCGGUGCUCUAUUACUACCAGUCGGGCGGGCGCCUGCGCCGGCCGGCGCACGUGCCGCUCGACGUCUUCCUGGAGGAGGUGGCCUUCUAUGGGCUGGGCGCCGCGGCGCUAGCGCGCCUGCGCGAGGAUGAGGGCUGCCCCUUGCCAUCGGAGCGCCCCCUGCCCCGCCGCGCCUUCGCGCGCCAGCUCUGGCUGCUCUUCGAGUUCCCCGAGAGCUCGCAGGCCGCGCGCGUGCUCGCCGUUGUCUCAGUGCUCGUCAUCCUCGUCUCCAUCGUCGUCUUCUGCCUCGAGACGCUGCCCGACUUCCGCGACGACCGCGACAACUCGGGGCUCGCCGCGGUGGCUGCCGCUGGCCCGUUUCCGGCUCGGCUGAACGGCUCCAGCCCAAUGCCUGGACCCCCACCUCGCUCGCCCUUCGAUGACCCGUUCUUUGUGGUGGAGACGCUGUGCAUCUGUUGGUUCUCCUUCGAGCUGCUGGUGCGCCUGGCGGCCUGCCCAAGCAAGACAGCCUUCUUCAAGAACGUGAUGAACCUCAUCGAUUUCGUGGCCAUCCUGCCGUACUUUGUGGCGCUGGGCGCUGAGCUGGCCCGGCAGCGGGGGGUGGGCCAGCCAGCCAUGUCACUGGCCACCCUGCGAGUCAUCCGACUGGUACGCGUCUUCCGCAUCUUCAAGCUGUCCCGGCACUCAAAGGGCCUGCAGAUCUUGGGCCAGACCUUCAGAGCCUCCAUGCGAGAGCUGGGCCUCCUCAUCUUCUUCCUUUUCAUUGGUGUGGUCCUCUUCUCCAGCGCGGUCUACUUUGCUGAGGCCGACCGGGCAGAAUCCCAUUUCACCAGCAUCCCUGAGUCCUUCUGGUGGGCGGUGGUCACCAUGACCACAGUUGGCUAUGGAGACAUGGCACCCGUCACUGUGGGCGGCAAGAUAGUGGGCUCUCUGUGCGCCAUCGCCGGCGUGCUGACCAUUUCCCUACCUGUGCCGGUCAUUGUCUCCAACUUCAGCUACUUUUACCACCGGGAGACAGACAACGAAGAGGCCGGGAUGUACAGCCACGUGGACACGCAGCCCUGUUGCCCACUGGAGGGCAAGGUGCUCAGCGAGAUGCCACCCCACCCCUCAGGCUCCCUCCCCAUCCUCCUACUUUUCCUCCUCCCCAGUGUCCCAAUGGAGCCCCACGCCUCACCCUCACCCCUGCCCCCAUUUCCAGUCCCCGAGUGGGACCUCUUGUCCCCCCGAGUAGCCCUGUCCAGGGGUACCCCCGCUGGGCCCCCUCUGCUCUUCCUGCUGGAGGCUGGAGCCUUUGGGGAGCCAGUUGGCAGCCCGGCCAACCGCAGUCGGCGGGGGUCCACGGUCGCGGAGCCCCUGCCCCCGGCCGCAAAGCAGGAUUUGCAUAUUCGGGCUUUCGACGAGGUCACCAGCAUUUGGGAGACAACCUCGGCCUCGGCUCACGUGCCCAAGACCCACGGCGGGCCCUACGCGCAGCCCAAGGCCCCAGAACCCGCGGACCGCACGCGGACUGUGGGGACCAAGGAUGUAGCGGAAAAACUCAGGCACCGCGGCUGGCGCCUCCCUCUGAUCACAAAGCACCAGUGCAGUGAGACGAGGGCGCAGUACACCGGCUGGCCCAGCCUGGACCGGGGCGCCACCUCCUUCAUCGGGCCCCAGCCCCUGGAGCUUGCGGACCACAACCGAGGGGGCCCUUCCCAGGUAGCGGAGAAGACCGCAGUGGCAGGAGCUGGCAGAGCUUUGAGACCCUGGGGCGAGGUCUGAGGGAAUUUUGAGUCUGGGGUCUAAAGAGUGGGACAGAAUCUGGAGGUUACAUAGAGCGGGGAAGGGGCUUAGGCCUUUUGAGGCGGAGCCAGGAGGAGGAGGGGACUGGAAGCCUGAAAUCCCAGCUCGGAGGCCGGGGGAACAGCUAGUAAAUCCUGGGGCGGGCCUAGGAGGCGGUUCUGAGGCUGCGGGCGGAGCUAGGUAGCCUAAUGUACGUGUGGGCGGAGCUUGAAUAUUCUGAGGCCGGUCUGGGGCGGAAGGCGGGGCUGGCUGCCCCUGUUAGGGUGGUGUGAGGAGUAAUAGUCGCCCGAGGCGCAGCUGAAUUCCAGGGGCGGGACCGAGAAGGUUGGAAUCUAGGGGAGGAGCAGGGAAGGUUUUUUAGUGACUGGGUGCUUGGCUUUGUGUCCGACGACGGGCAGAAAGUAUUUGGAUUUUGGAGGUGAGGCUAGUAAGGGUUCUGAUUUGGAGAGCGAAGCUGAAGUGCACUGGCGUGCAACUGGCCAGGAAGGAUCCUGAUUCUGGGGGCGGGUGUCGGCCUGGUUCAGAGGCGCAGGUGAGGCCGAAGGAAGAGGAAUUCCGUCUGGGACACAGGGCAUGAAAAAGGAUGUGUCCUCGAGGAUCUGUCUAGCUGUGCCCUCCCCAUCGCGCCUCCACCCCAACCCCCGACAGG